rnacentral:rRNA from 1 species
UACGAAGGGGGCUAGCGUUGCUCGGAAUCACUGGGCGUAAAGGGCUCGUAGGCGGCCAACUAAGUCAGACGUGAAAUCCCUCGGCUUAACCGGGGAACUGCGUCUGAUACUGGAUGGCUUGAGUUUGGGAGAGGGAUGCGGAAUUCCAGGUGUAGCGGUGAAAUGCGUAGAUAUCUGGAGGAACACCGGUGGCGAAGGCGGCAUCCUGGGCCAACACUGACGCUGAGUGAGCGAAAGCCAGGGGAGCAAACGGG